AAGUCGUAACAAGGUUUCCGUAGGUGAACCUGCGGAAGGAUCAUUACUGAGUGCGAGUAUUGUCGCGUUAGCGGCAAUGCGAGCAGUGAGAGGGUGUGGUUUUGAUGAGGGGUGGUGGAGUUUUAGUGCUCCACUCGCCUUUUUCCAUUAUAUUGCGAUUUUCAAACAAGUAUGAGCAAGUGAUUACGACACACAACUGUCACCGGUGGAUCUCUUGGCUCGU
rnacentral:misc_RNA from 1 species